AAUCAUCGAGCACUCAAAUUGGAGAUUACAAAAAGCUUUGAGAAGUUAAUAAAUGUUUGAAAAGUUAUGUUGUUGCAAUGUUUUGAUCCAUUUUUCAUGUUGUAUGGUUAUAAUUUUUUUCCUUACAUCAGAGGGAAAUUAUAAGGAAAAAAAUUAUAACCAUACAACAUGAUUACCGGAAGUGCUAGUCUCAUUCUAACCCAAUUUCUAACCCCUCACCACUCGGGCUAACCCCAAGCACUUCCAUUUAUCAUUGAUAUGCUUGAGAUUUACAAAUAAAAUCAUUGUCAAUAAUUACAUUGUACGAGUCAUGAUUGUAUUAUUCGUCGACAGCUUGCACGUGCACGUGGAGUCUGAUAGCCACUUUUACUGAAAUCGACCAUGCCAGACUUGUGGCUGGCAAAUUGCAAUGCUGUUGGUUUGGCCUUUCAAUCAAUAUUUGGUCGGUUGGCAUGGAGGAUCUUACCAAAUCUCAUGUGAUACACAAUUAUUCUGUUUUUCCUUUGACCAAAAACAAAACAGAAUUCGGCUGAUCUAGUAUUCAGGAAUUGAUGAGAACGUCUUCCAUGCUCCGAGUUUGGAGUGCUCGGGUUGUUUGGGCCCAGUCACGUGAGCAGUACCAUGUAGGUGGGAAAGGCUUAGCCUGUUCCCCGGUAGUCAAUAACAUCUCUCAUCAUCUCUUCUUCUCUCUGCUCUCUCUCUCUCUUUUUGUUUCACACUGAGAGAUGACGAACGAGGACGAAUUGCUUGGGUAACUCAUCAAAAUUGCUUGAGUAAAUUGCUUCUGACCAACAUCACAAACGAUUCCUCUUUCGAAUUCAUGGCCUUGGACGCCAUAACCAAUUCAAUCCCAGCAAAAAGCAAAAGCACGCCAUACAACACAACAGAAGCACCACUCCUACCCCCGAAUCGGUACUGCCCAGCUAGCCCACCGUCUCCAUGGCACACCGGCAUUGCCCCGAACCAGCACCAAACAAGGUUCAUGGAUCUGAGGCUGACUUUCACGAAAAACCCAGAAAUCCAAGUCUUCAAAAUUAAACCGAAUUCGAAAACAAAUUAUACCAAAGUGUAUAGCAUGAUGAGUGGAUAGCAUGGUGAGUAGAAGAAGUUUCUUGCCUCAUGCAUCCCCAACAGUCACCGGAUUCGCCGGAAAAAUAUGAAGAAGCUUUCGGCCUUCGAUUCUCCCUCUUCGGGACAAACCAGUACCAAAGGAAGGUCGGCGACAAUGAGAUGAAUCGAACGGCACGGGUGUGACACCGUGAAGUGGCCGAACGGAGGAUUCCAGCAGGUCGCCGACUCAGGUCGUCGGGUCGCGGGGACCGGGUUGGGAGUCCAAUGCAUUGAUCUAAUUUUUUUUUUUUUUUUUUUUUUUUUAAGAUGAUGUAUUGAUCUCAUAUGAGCCACAUAUAUAAUCUUCAUAUAUUUUAAUUUAGGGCCCUGAUCAAGCAGUGGACAAACAUACGGCUUAGAUUGCA